rnacentral:rRNA from 1 species
CCUACGGGAGGCAGCAGUAAGGAAUAUUGGACAAUGGCCGCAAGGCUGAUCCAGCCAUCCAGCGUGCAGGAAGAAGGCCCUAUGGGUUGUAAACUGCUUUUAUCAGGGAAGAAACCUGUGGAUUUACUCCGCAGCUGACGGUACCUGAAGAAUAAGCACCGGCUAACUCCGUGCCAGCAGCCGCGGUAAUACGGAGGGUGCGAGCGUUAUCCGGAACUACUGGGUUUAAAGGGUGCGUAGGCGGCUAUGUAAGUCAGGAGUGAAAGUUUGCGGCUCAACCGUAAAAUUGCUUUUGAUACUGCAUGGCUGGAAUUAGGAUGAGGUCAGCGGAAUGUGGCAUGUAGCGGUGAAAUGCAUAGAUAUGCCAUAGAACACCAAUUGCGAAGGCAGCUGGCUAGACCUGGAUUGACGCUGAGGCACGAAAGCGUGGGGAGCGAACAGGAUUAGAUACCCUGGUAGUCCACGCCCUAAACGAUGCUUACUCGACGUAUGAAGCUUGUCUUUGUGCGUCCAAGGGAAACCGUUAAGUAAGCCACCUGGGGAGUACGACCGCAAGGUUGAAACUCAAAGGAAUUGACGG